GAGGGUACAGCUCAGUGGUAGAGUGCCUGCUUAGCAUGCAUGAGGUCCUGCGUUAAAUCCCUAGUACCUCCA
rnacentral:tRNA from 1 species